rnacentral:rRNA from 1 species
CCUACGGGAGGCAGCAGUAGGGAAUAUUGCUCAAUGGGGGAAACCCUGAAGCAGCAACGCCGCGUGGAGGAUGAAGGUUUUCGGAUUGUAAACUCCUUUUGUUAGAGAAGAUAAUGACGGUAUCUAACGAAUAAGCACCGGCUAACUCCGUGCCAGCAGCCGCGGUAAUACGGAGGGUGCAAGCGUUACUCGGAAUCACUGGGCGUAAAGAGGGCGUAGGCGGGAUAGCAAGUCAGAUGUGAAAUCCUAUGGCUUAACCAUAGAACUGCAUUUGAAACUGUUAUUCUAGAGUAUGGGAGAGGUAGGUGGAAUUCUUGGUGUAGGGGUAAAAUCCGUAGAGAUCAAGAAGAAUACUGAUUGCGAAGGCGACCUGCUAGAACAUAACUGACGCUGAUGCGCGAAAGCGUGGGGAGCAAACAGGAUUAGAUACCCUUGUAGUC